GGAUUAGAUACCCUGGUAGUCCACGCCGUAAACGAUGAGUGCUAGGUGUUGGGGGUAUUGACCCCCCCAGUACCGCAGCUAACGCGUUAAGCACUCCGCCUGGGGAGUACGGCCGCAAGGCUAAAACUCAAAGGAAUUGACGGGGGCCCGCACAAGCGGUGGAGUAUGUGGUUUAAUUCGACGCAACGCGCAAAACCUUACCUGGGUUAAAUCCACCAGAACCUUCCAGAAACGGAGGGGUGCCUUCGGGAGCUGGUGAGAAGGUGCUGCAUGGCUGUCGUCAGCUCGUGCCG
rnacentral:rRNA from 1 species